CCCCCCGCCGCUCAGCACCGUUCCGUCGCGGCGCCGGCACAGAGCGAAGACGCUGCCCUCGUGUGCCCGCGUCUGCUGCCCGAUCUGCCAGCUUGGUGCCGCGGGCGCAGUCCCACACCGACAUCAUGUGCUCGUUGGAGUCGUCCACCACGCAGAGGUAGUGGCGCUGGCGGCGCAGGGGGACGUGGAGGAGGACGACGACGCAGGCGAUGAAGUAAACGAGCUCCCCAGAGGCCAAAACGUGGAGGUUGGAGCGGCUGUCACGGCCACGGUAACCGUAACUGGGGGGUUAAGGGGUGUAACGGGGGGAGGGACACCUGGGAGGGGGACAAAGGGGUGGGGGGGUGGCUGG